UACGGAGGGUGCGAGCGUUGUCCGGAAUCAUUGGGCGUAAAGGGCGCGUAGGCGGCUUGGUAAGUCGGGGGUGAAAGUCAGCGGCUCAACCGCUGGACUGCCUUCGAGACUGCCUGGCUUGAGCAUGGUAGAGGCUGGCGGAAUUCCCGGUGUAGCGGUGGAAUGCGUAGAGAUCGGGAAGAACAUCAGUGGCGAAGGCGGCCUGCUGGGCUGUUGCUGACGCUGAGGCGCGACAGCGUGGGGAGCAAACAGG
rnacentral:rRNA from 1 species